CUAUUAUGAUGAAUCCUAAAUUAUCAGUUCUGCUUCUGAACCAAAAAAUACAGGAAGAUAACAUAAUUUACCAAAGCUCAAUAAUAUCUGAAAU
rnacentral:snoRNA from 1 species